UGGCUUCCGGUGGUGCGGGGAAAGCCCUGCGUGCUGGAUCCCGCUGUGUCGGGGGACAAGGGCCCUGGAUGGCGGUUGGUCGUGGACAGAGACGCGCACGCGGCUUGCCAAGAGCUGCUCCCCGCCCGCGCGGCCUCAAGUCUGACUGAGUCCCACAGCUCGGAGGCUUCGUGGGUUGAAAAAGACAACUAUUAUCCUUAAAAAAAAGAACAAACAAAACAAAACAAAAAACAAAAAGAAAACAACAACAACAAAAAAACACAAACACACACCGGAACGCCUAUAUAAAGAGCUAAGCGGCAGUAGGACUGGAGAUAACGGGUCUCCAAUCUUCUCACGCGCUUCUAAACCACACGACGCCAACAAGAAGUGGAUUAAGGGCGGCGCCUCCCCCAGCAGGCGCGCUCCACGCGGCAUCAAGUCCAGGGGGUUCAGCGAAGCUACGAAUGACACCGACAGGAUUCGGACGCUCCUAGAAUACUAAUAUAAGGAUGGACAUUGGAGCCUCAUGACAAAAAUGAAAGUGAACAUGAUGUGGGAAAUAUGAAGAUAGGACCCACAAGCUAAGGAUUCUGGAGCAGAAAGUUUCUUAAAGUCUGUGAACUGACCGCCCAGAUGGCCUCUGGAAGUCUGCUGAAGAUUCUCCAGCCCCAUCCUAGACCUUCUGAAUCCAAAUCUCAGAGGGCAAGGGAUUCUCCGCUUUGAAGAUGUUCCCUAGGAGCUAACAUGAAGAAUGAAGGUAACAAGAUCUGAGAGAAGGAAACCCAGAGAGGCCCUGAACAAAUAGAGGCAGGCAAAACUGAGACCCUGUCCUGAUGGAGCUUACAUUUUCUGGGAGAAGACACACAUCACACAAAGAUUGAUUGUAGUCCACAGUGCUACCAAGAGAAACACAGCAAGUGGAACAGCUAUGGAUAUUAGAAGAAAGUGAAUUUGUCAGUUUUGAAAGAUCAACUUGGGAAGAAAACUUGAUUUUGUCUUUCCAGUGUAUGACAGGAAAAUGUUGACCUCUCCAGACCUCAAGGAAUGCAGGUAUAAUAGUUGAAGCUCCAGAAGCCAAUUGGACAGUGAAAUGAUUUUGGAAAAAAUUGAAGCCAUACGAAACAAAGGUCGAAGGAGCCUGGUUCCCAAUCCACAGAGGUUGAUAUUGACCCUAGAGUGACCAACUAUCUCUGGGCUUCUUAACAGGUCAGUGUGGGCAGCAGUGACCGCCUCCUCCUCCUCCCUGGAAUUGCUGUUCUCCCUCUACGCAGAAUGAUGCUGACUGAGCUUUCAACACUCCACAGUGAUCACGUCACUCCUUCCAGAGGCCCCUGGGCUUGCUGAAUAAAGGGCAAGCCCUUAGCUUGACGUGCAAGCCCUGCUGGGAGCUGGUCCCUGCCUUCAGCUCUGGCUGCAGAUCCCACCAAGCACUUGCAGCCUGACAGUCUUCUACACAAGUACUUUUUCUUUUUUAUGAAGAUUCCUCUCAUGGCAUUAGGAUAGUAGAAGGUUCGAGGAAAGUAGCACCUGGAGGCCUAGCCGCAGCCUGGGCUGCAGUUUCCUGAGGCCUCAGGAGGACUCACUCCUGGUCUAGAAUCUGACCAUUAGCCCUGGAGCCCGAGCAGCCUGUACUGUGAGAUUACGUAGAGCGACCUGGCGCAGCCACAGCCUCAGGACUUGGUUCAAGAGUCAGCACCCAUUCAUUUAUUUAUAGUACAAAAUUCGACCAUCCUAUAUUCAGUCCUCGAAGAGCAGGGAAUCUGAAUCAUGCUUAAAGUUGAAGCCUCUUCUGGGAUAUUGCUAAGGAAAAGUCCACAAUCCAGGAUUGCUAAUUAAAAUGAAUUCUACUUAUUGUGCAUAAAUUAAGUUCUAAUGAGGUUCCCCACCGCAUAUGAACGACGUCAUUCUGAACCACUGUGGUGCAAGAGAAUGAUAGAAGAAUUGACUCCCUUAAGUUAACUAACAGCUGCAUGGUUCCGUUUAGGAAGGGAAAGUGGGUAGAAUGGGGGGGGCGGAUAAGUACUAGGCAAUAAAUUACAAUGCAUGUGCAAAUAUUUAAUAUGCCCACAAUAUUCGUAAAUACGUACUAGAUCUUGCAACAGGUAUGCUAAGCCUUUUUAUUAAGAUCAUCUAUUUCAGACUAGUUUUACAGAUUUAAAGCACUUAAAAUUUUCAUAUUUAGGUCUAAGGUUUCCAGAAUUAGGGUCAGCAUUUCUCUUUUUUUCCUUCCCUUUUCAUUUUUUAUUGAGAUAGAAUUAAUAUAUAAAUUGUGUUAAUUUCAAGCGUACAACAUAAUGAUUUGAUAAAUGUAUAUAUUACAAAAUGAUCCCCACAGUUAGCUUAGUUAACAUCUGUCAACUCACAGUUAUGAGAGCCUUUAAGAUCUACUGUCUCAGCAACUUUCAAAUCUACAACACAGUAUCGUUAACUCUGAGACUCAGCAUUUCUAAAUGAAGAUAUAUGCAAUUUAUUCUAUUCUCCCCCAGAGAAGUCACUUGGAAUCCACUCAGCAGGCCUACUUAUCUGUGAGGUGCCAGGCUGAAAUAUGGGGAAUCCACCUAUUCCACAGCACUUCGGUUUGUCCCCUCAAGCCAUCUAUGAAGAGCCCUAACUCAAGCGGUCCUUUUGCAGCAUAGUGAGAGCCUUCCACAUACCUGGGCGUUUUUCGGGUUCUAUUACAAUGACCAGUGCUCUUCUUGGCACAACCUGAAAUAUCAGAGGGCAGAGAGGGAGCGGAGCGCGCAGGAGCCGGAUGGCGCUGCAGGAGGCUCGAAGGAGCGAGGCCGGAAAGGAGGUGGCGGGUCAGGUUAGGCAGCGAAGGAGGACAGAUGCAGGUAGCUGGCGGACCGGGAGCUCUGAGUGGUGUUUCUCAACCCCGGCUUCAGGACGGAAUCACCUGGAGAGCUUUAUAACCCUUCUGACACCUGGGCCCCGCCCCUGCCACUUCUGAUUCAUCCUUGGGAGGUGCAGCCAAGCGAUAAGGGUUUGCAGCUCCCCGGGUGAUCCUAAAUGACCAGCCAGAGCCGAGAACAAUUGGGAUAGAGAAAUGAUGUCUUUUAAAGACGGCAGCAGGGUAAGCACCUGUGAGUGCUGGAGAAGGAGCCAGGGAGGAGGUAAGGGGACAAUGCCUGACAUGGGGGGGAGGGGGGCUCAGCCAGGUGGGAGGCCUGCUUAGAACUCAGACGCCCCAGGGAGGGGCGAGAGGAAGGGAGAAGUGGGGGCUGUGGACUGAGUCCGGGUGGAGCAGCCCGGGGCAGCCAGCGGGGCCCCAGGCAUCCUCUGCACCCACCGCACAUCAAACACCCUCCACUGACGUGAGAACAUGGACAACAACGAGAAUAUCAACAGCAUUCUACGUAUUUCAAAUGAGUAAAAAGUAAAUUCUCUAUACUUUUGGCAUCGUGUGCAUCCUGAAGACCUGCAGGCCCUCCCCUGCCCGUCCUCGCAGCCAGAUGUCACAGACGUGUCGUGUCGCACAGGCUGAGACCCUGCGUCCCCCCAGUUGUCGCUGCCUUUCUGGCCUUGUAUGGAGGCACUCGGAGUUUGCGAGGACGCACCCUGAAGGUUCUGAAGUCCUGGGAAGAAGGUGCAGGGAACGGAGGGAUUUCCCAGGCUGCGGGCCUGUUGGUGCUGGAACCUGGGGUCCCAGGCAGGCCGGGAGGGGUAGCCCCCACCGUGGCUUGCACAACAAUCCCUAAUUCCUUUGUUGGUGACAAGCACCUGCUUUCACCUGGCCGGACCAGGGUCGAGGCGGGAGCCGGCCUGGUGAAGGGAGACACAGGACAACUCUUCUGUUGGCUUCCUUCUGCCCCUCGGGCCUCCCACUGAGGUGGAGGGGCGCCUCUCCAGGGUUAACUCCUAAGGCCCCUGUCCCUUUUUGUUCCUUUGACUUGUCUGUCCUCUACUUUUUUGUUGUUGGUUGUUUUCUGUCUUGGGGCUAGUGGCCUGAGAAGACUUCCUCCCUUCCCAAACCGCAUUUCUUCUUUCAUCCUCAGAUAAGAUAAACUAAAUCAAAUACAUACCUUAAAUCAGCAGGCCGCAGCACUUUUUCGUUAAAGAAUUUUAAACCUCUCAAUACAAAAUGAGUGCGUUGCUCUUUAGAAAUGGAGAGUGGUCUCACCUGACCUCACCUGCCCUUUGCCAAUAGAAGCUGGGUCUUUAUCAAGAAGAAACUUUCUUCUUUCUUCUACAUGGGGCUUUGCUUAGCAGCCAAUUUUAAAAUGAUCUUCAGAUGAAAAGUCACAUUCUUGAGGGAGAACAGAAAACACUUUGUACAAUAACAGGCUCAAGAGACGAGUUUUCUCUGUAUUAAGCCCUCCAUCCGUGUUUGCUGUGUCUUCAUUGUUCAUCAAGUCAACAGACUUUUUAGUGACUGAAAAGUUUCUCCUUGCCACCCUGAUUAUUUUUUCUGCCUUCACUAAAAUUUGGCAAGUAUGUGUAUCGCAAAUACUAGAUGGAAAGCUCUGGAUCAAGGUUAUGCAGCGUAUCAGUGUGGUUAAAGCAAGGCCUUGGCUGUAAUAAUCAGCUAUACACUCCAUCAGGAGAAUGUGGUGAGGUGAGGAAGGAAAAUCACAGAGCAGAGAGCCCAGAACGUCCUGCAGAAUGUCUUUUCCACGGCAACACGGCAGGUCAAUCCAGUUAUGAAACAGAAGGGUAUUAAGCAUUUGCGUGAAGGAUCA
rnacentral:lncRNA from 1 species